GUAAGGCGAGAGAGUGUGUCUAUGCGUGUGUGUGUGUCUGUCUGUGCGAGACUGUGUCUGUGUGUUCAGCUUGAGUCUAUUGAGCCAAUUGGAUGGGACUGGGGUUUACAAAGACAAGGGGCACACAGGAGCUUCCUCAGUAUCACAGGCUUUCACUUUCUUCUAGUGUUUCGGAUGGUGUCUGGGCUGAUGCUGCUGCAGGGCUUGGUGAAGAUGCUGGACUAAUCUGAGAACUCACAGUUGAAGACAUGUUCAUUAGACUGGGACGCCUGACCCCUGGAUACUUCCGUCUCCUCCAGAGACAGGUCUCAGGUGAAGUCCAGAUACAGCCGCAGAAAGGAUUCAUCAACCAGAUCGCCAUGACGAUGGCCAUGGUGGGCAUGAGUGUGUCCUUCUACAGCGCCCGGCGGAUGGCGGAGAAGUUCCAUCUGAAAGAGAAUGCUCCCUGAACAGUUGGACAGUGUGGCCCCUCAACUGGACCAGAGAGAUGGGGGAGAGAGAUGAAGAGAAUCAGAGUAGGCUGCAGUGCUGCACUCCAUCACCUUGCAUUGCAGCGUUUGGCACCUUCACUAGAAUUCAGGCCUACUCAAAGCUGCCAUGGUGGUUCUGUGGGCUGAGUGUUUGUUGUUGUUGUUUGAGAGAAUGUCUGUGUUUGAUGGAAGAGGAUGGGUAUCAGGAGCGUUUUGUCUUGAGAGUGAGACCAUGCAGUCUUUAAUAAACAACUGCUGGGUUUGACAUACGUUUAUCUUUGUAUUAUGAUAACGGGAAAAUGUAAGUGUACUGUGGGGAAAUGAAAAUGUGAAUUACCAGUACUAAUGCCCAAUAGAUUAAAAUGACCAAACAACAUUUUUACCUAAAGACAUUUUUUGGAAGAUAUGAGGUGAUCUACACAUAUCUGCUUAUUUGAAAGAUUUCAACAUGUAGGCCUAGCAUACUUACUUAGGCUCCAUACUAGAAUAUAUUUGAACAUAGCAUGAAUGCACAUCACAAAUAUAGGAUAAGGAUAAGUAAUCCCUCUCACCCCCCCUUAAGUUUUAGAUGCACUAUUGUUAAGUGACUGUCCCACUGGAUGUCAUAAGGUGAAUGCACCAAUUUGUAAGUCGCUCUGGAUAAGAGCGUCUGCUAAAUGACUUAAAUGUAAAUGUAAAUGUAAGAAAUGCGGGACCCCAGUAAGCGUUUAGUAUUUGCUUUAGCGCUUUAUCAGUUGAACAUGGAUGCCAUGAUAAUACUGUAGCUCUGUGGUUCUGACAGAAUCGGUGGUCUCCUCAACAUAUGGCACUUCCAAACUGACUCUUAAUGACAUUUAUACAUAUAUUUUAUUAACAAUUAUUUUUAAUAGUUUACAUUUUUAAAUACCAAAUAAAACUCACUAUUUACUCAAA